AUUGGAGUUGCUUGUUGCGGCAUUUCGGAUCUAAUUAAGUUUUGGCCUUUUGAGAGAUUUUCUUGUACUCCGCCUUUUCGACAUUAAUAAAUUAUUUGCUCCGUCUUCGCCCGUGGACGUAGGCCGUUGGCCGAACCACGUAAAUAUCGAUGUGUUCUUUCCUUAUCUUUUCUUUUCUUACAUUAAAUUAUUUUCUGGAUCUAUUUUUCGCCGUUCCGAUUUUAACAGAGGUACUAAUCAACUGCUCUAAAUAGUGUUGUAUUAAAUUAAAUAGUAUCAAUCCUGGUUAGGCGAUAUUUUCUUACUG
rnacentral:lncRNA from 1 species